rnacentral:rRNA from 1 species
AUGGGAACGCGAAGAACCUUACCUACUCUUGACAUCCAGAGAACUUAGCAGAGAUGCUUUGGUGCCUUCGGGAACUCUGAGACAGGUGCUGCAUGGCUGUCGUCAGCUCGUGUUGUGAAAUGUUGGGUUAAGUCCCGCAACGAGCGCAACCCUUAUCCUUUGUUGCCAGCGGUUCGGCCGGGAACUCAAAGGAGACUGCCAGUGAUAAACUGGAGGAAGGUGGGGAUGACGUCAAGUCAUCAUGGCCCUUACGAGUAGGGCUACACACGUGCUACAAUGGCAUAUACAAAGAGAAGCGACCUCGCGAGAGCAAGCGGACCUCAUAAAGUGCGUCGUAGUCCGGAUUGGAGUCUGCAACUCGACUCCAUGAAGUCGGAAUCGCUAGUAAUCGUAGAUCUAGAANAUUGGCUAAC